GGGUCGUUAGCUCAGUUGGUAGAGCAGUUGGCUUUUAACCAAUUGGUCGUAGGUUCGAGUCCCACACGACCCA
rfam:Pseudomonas sp. M47T1 contig03, whole genome shotgun sequence.